ACAGAUGAUACGUUACCAGAAUUAGCCAUUGCCACACCAAGUACGCAUCAGACUCAGGACUCGCCUUGGUUCAACAACCUGAAAUUCAAGUUCCCUAUUCCAGGCUCACAUGCCUUCUAAUGAUAGCGUGUUCGUGUCUCCUUCAGCUUUGGGCAUGACCUUUCUGAGCUGGCUGCUUCUGUUUCUCACCUGUACAUUGAGCCAAAAAACAGCCACCUCUGAAUUUUAGGAGGGGGUGUAAGGGACAGAGCAGAUGAAAGAUUUUCUGUAUUCAGUGAUAUGACCCUGAAUGAAUGCAGCUGAGCAAACUGGCCAACUCAGAUGAGCACUAUUUUGUACUGCUCAUGUUUACCAGCGUACUGUGCCUGGGUCCAAGAGCAAGCCUACAACGCUGCUAUGGUGAAGCUGGCCAGCCCACUUUAACCUACUCAGACAUGCCAUCUAAACAAAACACUCCCUCUCCAAAAACCUCCUGCUCCUCUCUGCCCUCUUGCAAGCCCUCUUGCUGCAAUCCUUUCCUGUGCUGCCUCUGGGGUGCAAUGGCUCUUGCUCCAAAUCGUUACUUCUAUGUGGAAGAUCGCCAAGCUGGAGUGGUGGGGCAGGCUGUGCCACCUGCUGCAGAGAGCUCCCCAGCUGUGGUGUGUUAGAUCCUGCUGUUGAAAUGCACCUGGGCAGGCUGCUCUGAAAACACCUGGGGGGUUACCAGCUGAGGCCAAAGAGGCAGAAUGGGCUGGAGGAAUGCAGUUCUGACAUUUUCCUUUGUGCUGGUUCUUUUAGCAGAACCCAGAGCAAGGGCCACCUAUAUGAGAAUCUUAUCCUUCAAGCUGUAAUCAGGAGAGAUGUGGAUGCUGUACCUUUGAUUUAAGCCUUCUGACAAGCCUUGGAUGCUCCUCCCUUGCCUCUCACGUGGAUUCCUAACAGGCAGCCCAUAGCCACCUAGCAAUCUACAAUGUAAAAUUAUCACCAUCUACUUCCCCAAUAGCCAAAGGCCCGGUGGGAAGCUGCCCUGCGGACCUUGGGAUUUUUCUAUUCCUAGUCAAGGGAGAAACAAAUUUUCUUUCCAGUUUUGGAUUUGUCUGCCCAUUGGUUUCAGUUACAUCAUGCGAACAAGACAGACUCAGCUUUACUGCCCAAGAUAGGCAAUAUGUGUGCAGUAGAAAUACACUGGAAAUUCACCUGAAAGCUGAGUAGAAUUUCAUCACUUCAAGUCAAUCGUACAGAUAUUAUCUUCCUUUUAAAUAAAGAGGAAUAAUAUUCUUAAAUGCACCUCCACAGCUUAUAAUGAUCAGUACGAUUCCUUAUGUGCACUUGCUUUACAAAGUGGAAGAAAACACCCAUUUUUUGUCUAAUUAUAGCUCUGGAGUUGCUAACUAGCACCUUCUCUGAGAAACAGUUGCCUGUGAUGAGCUUUGCAAGAAGAGAGAUGUUGAGAUGG
ensembl:lncRNA